rnacentral:lncRNA from 1 species
GGGGGAGGAGGGGGUAAUACUGAAGAAUAAAGAGAUGGGCUUGGUGUUUGCAGGGGUGGUGGGUGGACGGAUUUAUUUGACGGAGAAUGAGAAAGAGAGAACGAGGCGGGAGAGACGGUAGUGUUUGCAGAGGUAGGGGUGGGGGCAGAUGGGUUUGAUGGAGGAGGGAGAAGGGUGGUUUGAAGAAGAAAGGAAAUUAGGGUGGG